GCCUCGGUGGCUCAGUGGUAGAGCGUCUGCCUUUGGCUCAGGGUAUGGUCCCGGGGUCCUGGGAUCAAGUCCCACAUGGGGCU
rfam:Canis lupus familiaris chromosome 2, whole genome shotgun sequence.